rnacentral:rRNA from 1 species
UACGUAGGGGGCUAGCGUUGUCCGGAAUCAUUGGGCGUAAAGCGCGUGUAGGCGGUCCGGUAAGUCCGCUGUGAAAGUCGAGGGCUCAACCCUCGAAUGCCGGUGGAUACUGUCGGGCUUGAGUACGGGAGAGGCGAGUGGAAUUCCUGGUGUAGCGGUGAAAUGCGCAGAUAUCAGGAGGAACACCGGUGGCGAAGGCGGCAUCCUGGACCGACACUGACGCUGAGGAGCGAAAGCCAGGGGAGCAAACGGG